rnacentral:rRNA from 1 species
UACGUAGGCAGCAAGCGUUGUUCGGAAUUACUGGGCGUAAAGAGUGUGUAGGCGGUGCUCCAAGUCUGGUGUGAAAUCUCCCGGCUUAACUGGGAGGGUGCAUUAGAAACUGGAAUGCUAGAGGAUGGGAGAGGUAAGCGGAAUUCCUGGUGUAGCGGUGAAAUGCGUAGAUAUCAUUUGGAACGCCAACGGCGAAAAGCAGGCAGCUGGGGGAUGCACCGACGCUGAGACACGAAAGCCAGGGGAGCGAACGGGG